ACUGGGCGUAAAGGGCACGCAGGCGGUGACUUAAGUGAGGUGUGAAAGCCCCGGGCUUAACCUGGGAAUUGCAUUUCAUACUGGGUCGCUAGAGUACUUUAGGGAGGGGUAGAAUUCCACGUGUAGCGGUGAAAUGCGUAGAGAUGUGGAGGAAUACCGAAGGCGAAGGCAGCCCCUUGGGAAUGUACUGACGCUCAUGUGCGAAAGCGUGGGGAGCAAACAGGAUUAGAUACCCUGGUAGUCCACGCUGUAAACGAUGUCGAUUUGGGGGUUGAACUUUAAGUUUGGCGCCCGUAGCUAACGUGAUAAAUCGACCGCCUGGGGAGUACGGCCGCAAGGUUAAAACUCAAAUGAAUUGACGGGGGCCCGCACAAGCGGUGGAGCAUGUGGUUUAAUUCGAUGCAACGCGAAGAACCUUACCUACUCUUGACAUCCAGAGAACUUUCCAGAGAUGGAUUGGUGCCUUCGGGAACUCUGAGACAGGUGCUGCAUGGUUGUCGUCAGCUCGUGUCGUGAG
rnacentral:rRNA from 1 species